CUGUGGUUUACUAAUGCUGUAGGUGGAUGCUGUAUUUUGUUAAGGUUGUAGUUUGUUGAGGUUGUAGGUGGUGGCUGUAGUUUUUUGAGAUUGUUGUAGGUGGGGUCUGUAGUUUGUUGAGGUUGUUGUAAGUGUAGACUGUGGUUUGUUAAUGCUGUGUGGUGGAGUCUUUAGUUUGUUGAGGUUGUUGUAAGUGUAGUCUGUGGUUUGUUAAUGCUGUAUGGUGGAGUCUGUAGUUUGUUGAGGUUGUUGUAAGUGUAGACUUUGGUUUGUUAAUGCUGUAGGUGGGGUCUGUAGUUUGUUGAGGUUGUUGUAAGUGUAGUCUGUGGUUUGUUAAUGCUGUAGGUGGGGUCUGUAGUUUGUUGAGGUUGUUGUAAGUGUAGUCUGUGGUUUGUUAAUGCUGU